rnacentral:rRNA from 1 species
CUACGGGGCGCUGCAGUGGGGAAUAUUGGACAAUGGGCGCAAGCCUGAUCCAGCAAUGCCGCGUGAGUGAAGACGGCCUUAGGGUUGUAAAACUCUUUCGCUAGGGAAGAUAAUGACUGUACCUAGUAAAGAAGUCCCGGCUAACUCCGUGCCAGCAGCCGCGGUAAUACGGAGGGGACUAGCGUUGUUCGGAAUUACUGGGCGUAAAGAGUUCGUAGGCGGACUGACAAGUUAGAGGUGAAAUCCCAGGGCUCAACCCUGGAACUGCCUUUAAAACUGUCAGUCUAGAGACCGGAAGAGGUUAGGGGAAUACCUAGUGUAGAGGUGAAAUUCGCAGAUAUUAGGUGGAACACCAGUGGCGAAGGCGCCUAACUGGUCCGGUACUGACGCUGAGGAACGAAAGCGUGGGGAGCAAACAGGAUUAGAUACCCGUGUAGUC